rnacentral:rRNA from 1 species
CAGAACGAACGCUGGCGGCGCGUCUUAAGCAUGCAAGUCGGGCGGCAAGGAGGAGCAAUCCUCCCUAGAGCGGCGGACUGGUGAGUAACGCGUGGGUGACCUACCCCCGGGUUGGGGAUAGCCAUUAGAAAUAGUGGGUAAUACCGGAUACGGUUACCGGACCAUGGUCUGGUAAAGAAAGGAGCUUUGGCUCCGCCUGGGGAUGGGCCCGCGUCCCAUUAGGUAGUUGGUGUGGUAAAGGCGCACCAAGCCCGAGAUGGGUAGCCGGCCUGAGAGGGUGAACGGCCACACUGGGACUGAGAUACGGCCCAGACUCCUACGGGAGGCAGCAGCUAAGAAUAUUCCGCAAUGGACGGAAGUCUGACGGAGCGACGCCGCGUGGAUGAGGAAGGCCGAAAGGUUGUAAAAUCCUUUUUUCGCGGAAGAAUAAGCGGUGGAUGGGAAUGCCAUCGUGAUGACGCGA